rnacentral:pre_miRNA from 1 species
GAAAGGACAACAAAACACGAAGUUUCAAACACAGCUGAAAUUUCCAAUAAAUUUCAGCUGUGGUUGUGACUUCGUGUUGUGUUGACCUUUUC